UGCUGGAGGUAUCAGAAGUGCGAAUGCUGACAUAAGUAACGAUAAAGCGGGUGAAAAGCCCGCUCGCCGGAAGACCAAGGGUUCCUGUCCAACGUUAAUCGGGGCAGGGUGAGUCGACCCCUAAGGCGAGGCCGAAAGGCGUAGUCGAUGGGAAACAGGUUAAUAUUCCUGUACUUGGUGUUACUGCGAAGGGGGGACGGAGAAGGCUAUGUUGGCCGGGCGACGGUUGUCCCGGUUUAAGCGUGUAGGCUGGUUUUCCAGGCAAAUCCGGAAAAUCAAGGCUGAGGCGUGAUGACGAGGCACUACGGUGCUGAAGUUACAAAUGCCCUGCUUCCAGGAAAAGCCUCUAAGCAUCAGGUAACAUCAAAUCGUACCCCAAACCGACACAGGUGGUCAGGUAGAGAAUACCAAGGCGCUUGAGAGAACUCGGGUGAAGGAACUAGGCAAAAUGGUGCCGUAACUUCGGGAGAAGGCACGCUGAUAUGUAGGUGAAGCGACUUGCUCGUGGAGCUGAAAUCAGUCGAAGAUACCAGCUGGCUGCAACUGUUUAUUAAAAACACAGCACUGUGCAAACACGAAAGUGGACGUAUACGGUGUGACGCCUGCCCGGUGCCGGAAGGUUAAUUGAUGGGGUUAGCGGUAACGCGAAGCUCUUGAUCGAAGCCCCGGUAAACGGCGGCCGUAACUAUAACGGUCCUAAGGUAGCGAAAUUCCUUGUCGGGUAAGUUCCGACCUGCACGAAUGGCGUAAUGAUGGCCAGGCUGUCUCCACCCGAGACUCAGUGAAAUUGAACUCGCUGUGAAGAUGCAGUGUACCCGCGGCAAGACGGAAAGACCCCGUGAACCUUUACUAUAGCUUGACACUGAACAUUGAGCCUUGAUGUGUAGGAUAGGUGGGAGGCUUUGAAGUGUGGACGCCAGUCUGCAUGGAGCCGACCUUGAAAUACCACCCUUUAAUGUUUGAUGUUCUAACGUUGGCCCGUAAUCCGGGUUGCGGACAGUGUCUGGUGGGUAGUUUGACUGGGGCGGUCUCCUCCUAAAGAGUAACGGAGGAGCACGAAGGUUGGCUAAUCCUGGUCGGACAUCAGGAGGUUAGUGCAAUGGCAUAAGCCAGCUUGACUGCGAGCGUGACGGCGCGAGCAGGUGCGAAAGCAGGUCAUAGUGAUCCGGUGGUUCUGAAUGGAAGGGCCAUCGCUCAACGGAUAAAAGGUACUCCGGGGAUAACAGGCUGAUACCGCCCAAGAGUUCAUAUCGACGGCGGUGUUUGGCACCUCGAUGUCGGCUCAUCACAUCCUGGGGCUGAAGUAGGUCCCAAGGGUAUGGCUGUUCGCCAUUUAAAGUGGUACGCGAGCUGGGUUUAGAACGUCGUGAGACAGUUCGGUCCCUAUCUGCCGUGGGCGCUGGAGAACUGAGGGGGGCUGCUCCUAGUACGAGAGGACCGGAGUGGACGCAUCACUGGUGUUCGGGUUGUCAUGCCAAUGCACUGCCCGGUAGCUAAAUGCGGAAGAGAUAAGUGCUGAAAGCAUCUAAGCACGAAACUUGCCCCGAGAUGAGUUCU
rnacentral:rRNA from 1 species